rnacentral:lncRNA from 1 species
CUCAACAAUUUAUUUUUACCAAUUAAUCAAAUAAGUUGAGUUGUUGAAGGUUCGUUAAUCUAUGAACUUUAGGCACUUUUUCCUUGGUGCUUUUAAAUGCAAGCCUUUUGGCCGGGUUUUUAGCCAAAAAAUCAACUAAAUGUCUUUCAAUCAGGUGGAGCAUCAUAUGCUCAUGCAAAUAUAUGAAAAUGGGAUGGAGAUUACCAGCCCCACCCAAGUGC